GUGUGUGCAUCCCAAUUAGCGCGAGCGCGCAGGCACCCACACAGCCCGGGCUGGAGCGGCAGGAUCAUGACAUUGCAUGGACUGAGCUCACCACCAGAAAAUAUUGUGCAAGUGUCCAAACAGAUGAAAAAAAAAAGGAGACCAAGCGAAAAGCCCUUUGGUCUACUCCAAUGUAAAUGCCAGCAGACAAACCGCAGUGACAGCAGCAUGGUCAGAGGCGAGGAACCUAUCCUAUCCUGACUGUUGGGAAGAUCUGGAGUACAUCCUGCACUGAUCAUCAUAGUAACAAUAUUCAAAUUUAAUCUCUUUUGUGAUGUAAAGCUAAUGAAGAUGUUCACACAACCAAUCAUGUAAUAAACAACAAAACAAACAAACAUUCAUGAAACAAAGAAAAAAGACUGUACAUAUGAAAUACCAUUUUUAAAUUUGAAUUACAUUUUACACAAAUUACUUAACCUCUGGAUUGCCCAAAAAAGUCAAUUCUUCCUGUUUCUGCCUGAUGUUGAUUUGUAUUCUGUGGCCUGAUAACAAGGCAGAGAAGAAGCAUGCACCGUGCUCGGAUCUCUUCUAUAAACUGGCACUCUGUCAUCAAUAUUGUAGAAGAAUCCAUAGUGCAGGACAAGAAGACUAAUUAGAGCGUGCGCUAAAUAAUUUAACUCCCUCUGAUUUUAUUGAUUUGUCAGUUCAGAACUGUGACUCCGAGCUGUAAAAUUGACUCUGCUGAAAGAGACAUGCUUGUCUGCAGGUUUAUGGCUAUCAGCACAUCGAGGAAGACACACCAUAAUGUACUAAAGCAGCUUACUCAUAUACAGCCAGCACAACACAAAAGAAUUGCACACGUGGACAAAAGCGCCCGUGCUAAUAAAGAGGCCAGUGGAUAAUAUAGUGAAACUAUCAAGUCUGAACAUUAAGCUUCUUAAUUAACAGUAGAGCAAUUAAACAUGCUCAUGUGCUUGAUACACAGCGGAACACACACACUCACACAAACUUGUAAACUAAUUACACACCUCUCCUAAUUAACACAGAUCUUCAUUUCAAGUGCAUGGAGCCCCAGAGAUCGAGUUAGCCACCUGUUACUAAUAUCUCAGCCCAAGCAUGAGGAGUACUCGCGGAUGCGCAAGCGCAUACACAUACACACAUACAUCCAAACAAACACAAGCCUUUCCUUUCACUCACUCACUCACUCACUCACUCACUCACUCACACUCACUCACUCACUCACUCAGAAACAUACACACAGCAGUGUAGUUUAGGACAGGCCUGACUGGCUGGCUUUAAGUGUUUGUUCAAUUGGUUAAACGGCUCAUUGGUUAAUUGCAAAGGGAUUAUGUUCAGAUGACCGGGAAUCAAUCGACCACGCAAGUUAGCGAGCAUGAUUGAGAGAAGAAGCAGAAAAUGAUCUCUUGGGUCGUGGACCAAAGUGACCAAUCAGAGAACAUGCUAAUGGUUCUCAUAAGCCUGAAGAUGAGCUAAGAUCGUGACAGUAAUCAACAAAUAAGUGAUAUUAAUUGAAGACCCCUAUCCAAGACCCCUAUCCAUCCUGAAUUGAUAUUGAAGAUUCUCCAUGUUGAUGAGUUUUUUAAAUAGUGUUGAAUAUAAAGAAAUAAAAGUGACAACCAGAAAAU